rnacentral:rRNA from 1 species
GCCUCCAUGAAGUUGGAUUCGCUAGUAAUCGCGCAUCAGCCAUGGCGCGGUGAAUACGUUCCCGGGCCUUGUACACACCGCCCGUCAAGCCAUGGGAGCCGGGGGUGCCUGAAGUUCGUUACCGCAAGGAUCGACCUAGGGCAAAACUGGUGACUGGGCUAAGUCGUAACAAGGUAUC